AAAAAACUUAAUCUUGAUCCCUUCGGGGUGACGUUAGUGGAUCGCAUGUUUGUGCGGACGGGUGAGUAACACGUGGGCAACCUACCUGUAAGAUCGGGAUAACCCCGGGAAACCGGAGCUAAUACCGGAUAAUAUUUCGAACCGCAUGGUUCGGAAUUGAAAGACGGCUUUUGCUGUCACUUACAGAUGGGCCCGCGGCGCAUUAGCUAGUUGGUAAGGUAACGGCUUACCAAGGCAACGAUGCGUAGCCGACCUGAGAGGGUGAUCGGCCACACUGGGACUGAGACACGGCCCAGACUCCUACGGGAGGCAGCAGUAGGGAAUCUUCCGCAAUGGACGAAAGUCUGACGGAGCAACGCCGCGUGAACGAUGAAGGUCUUCGGAUCGUAAAGUUCUGUUGUUAGGGAAGAACAAGUACCAGAGUAACUGCUGGUACCUUGACGGUACCUAACGAGGAAGCCACGGCUAACUACGUGCCAGCAGCCGCGGUAAUACGUAGGUGGCAAGCGUUGUCCGGAAUUAUUGGGCGUAAAGCGCGCGCAGGCGGUUCCUUAAGUCUGAUGUGAAAGCCCACGGCUCAACCGUGGAGGGUCAUUGGAAACUGGGGAGCUUGAGUACAGAAGAGGAGAGUGGAAUUCCACGUGUAGCGGUGAAAUGCGUAGAUAUGUGGAGGAACACCAGUGGCGAAGGCG
rnacentral:rRNA from 1 species